GUAUCCAUUGGAGGGCAAGUCUGGUGCCAGCAGCCGCGGUAAUUCCAGCUGCCAAAAGUAUAUAUUUAAGUUGUUGCGGUUAAAAAGCUCGUAGUUGGAUUUUGGGCGCAGGCGGCCGGUCCGUCGCAAGGCGUGUACUGGACGUCCUGGCCUUCCCUCCGGUUCUCCGCCGGUGCUCUUGACUGAGUGUCGGCGGCGGCCGGAACGUUUACUUUGAAAAAAUUAGAGUGUUCAAAGCAGGCUCUCGAGCCUGGAUAAUGGUGCAUGGAAUAAUGGAAUAGGACCUCGGUUCUAUUUUGUUGGUUUUCGGAGCGCGAGGUAAUGAUUAAGAGGGACAGACGGGGGCAUUCGUACUGUGCCGUUAGAGGUGAAAUUCUUGGAUCGGCGCAAGACGAACGACUGCGAAAGCAUUUGCCAAGAAUGUUUUCUUUAAUCAAGAGCGAAAGUCAGAGGUUCGAAGACGAUCAGAUACCGUCCUAGUUCUGACUAUAAACGAUGCCAACUAGCGAUCGGGGGGCGUUACAUUGACGACCCCUCCGGCAGCUUACGGGAAACCAAAGUCUUUGGGUUCCGGGGGAAGUAUGGUUGCAAAGCUGAAACUUAAAGGAAUUGACGGAAGGGCACCACCAGGAGUGGAGCCUGCGGCUUAAUUUGACUCAACACGGGAAAUCUCACCAGGCCCGGACACAGUGAGGACUGACAGA
rnacentral:ncRNA from 1 species